rnacentral:piRNA from 1 species
UGUGCAGUAUCAAGAAAACAGUCUUGUUUU